UGAUCUCUGUUGUACUCACAUAA
rnacentral:siRNA from 1 species